UGGGGAAUAUUGGACAAUGGGCGAAAGCCUGAUCCAGCCAUGCCGCGUGUGUGAAGAAGGUCUUCGGAUUGUAAAGCACUUUAAGUUGGGAGGAAGGGUUGUAGAUUAAUACUCUGCAAUUUUGACGUUACCGACAGAAUAAGCACCGGCUAACUCUGUGCCAGCAGCCGCGGUAAUACAGAGGGUGCAAGCGUUAAACGGAAUUACUGGGCGUAAAGCGCGCGUAGGUGGUUAGUUAAGUUGGAUGUGAAAUCCCCGGGCUCAACCUGGGAACUGCAUUCAAAACUGACUGACUAGAGUAUGGUAGAGGGUGGUGGAAUUUCCUGUGUAGCGGUGAAAUGCGUAGAUAUAGGAAGGAACACCAGUGGCGAAGGCGACCACCUGGACUGAUACUGACACUGAGGUGCGAAAGCGUGGGGAGCAAACA
rnacentral:rRNA from 1 species